rnacentral:ncRNA from 1 species
UUAAUGGAGAGUUUGAUCCUGGCUCAGGACGAACGCUGGCGGCGUGCCUAAUACAUGCAAGUCGAGCGGAUUUAGUCGGGAGCUUGCUCCUGACUGAGUUAGCGGCGGACGGGUGAGUAACACGUAGGUAACCUGCCCGUAAGACCGGGAUAACAUUCGGAAACGGAUGCUAAUAGCGGAUACGCAAU